GAGAACUUAGGGGUUUGCUGGAUUUGAUCACUGCUACUGCUUAAUGCUUCCACUCUGCUUGAUUAUGAAAAUGGGGGAUUUAAAGAUGAUCAUGAAGGUGUUUACUUUUCUUUUCUUUUUUUUGUAGGGACAUUUGGUUAUUAACUAUGACCAGAAAGUCAUAGGUGGUUUCUACGAUGUGUAUGGGAUUACUUCUAAUUCUCUUUAACAAGGGAAGAUGUCAGUUCAAGGUUAUAACAAACGAUUAAAUGUAUGUUUUUUUAGAUUUGAAGAAACUGAUGUGAUCUAUGGAUUGGUUAUAACAUAUGCGCUUUGUGUGCGUAGACAUCAUCACUAAGCUUGAAGAGGCGUUAUUGCUUGAGCUAAAGAAAC
rnacentral:lncRNA from 1 species